UACGGAGGGGGCUAGCGUUGCUCGGAAUCACUGGGCGUAAAGCGCACGUAGGCGGCUUUCUAAGUCAGGGGUGAAAUCCUGGAGCUCAACUCCAGAACUGCCUUUGAUACUGGAGAGCUUGAGUCCGGGAGAGGUGAGUGGAACUCCGAGUGUAGAGGUGAAAUUCGUAGAUAUUCGGAAGAACACCAGUGGCGAAGGCGGCUCACUGGCCCGGUACUGACGCUGAGGUGCGAAAGCGUGGGGAGCAAACAGG
rnacentral:rRNA from 1 species